ensembl:lncRNA
UUGCAAGCCAAGGACAGGGAGAACCUUGAUCGCUACAGGGUUCUGAACUGCACUCCAUGCUUCCAAUUGCUUAGUGAAGACCCAGAUCACAUCACCCCCACAGAAUGAAAUUAGACGCCUCUUCCAAUGUGACAAAGAUGUUUGUUUAAAUGACAACUGUAGGAUUCCCCCAAGGACAUGUGGACCAUGUGAAAACUGGGAGUACAGAGCUCACAGCUGUUCAUUUCAACAGUCAACGCUGGACAACUGGGGACGACCCAGGAUGAGAUGGCUGGAUGGCAUCACGGACUCGAUGGACGUGAGUCUGAGUGAACUCCAGGAGAUGGUGAUGGACAGGGAGGCCUGGCGUGCUGCGAUUCAUGGGGCCGCAAAGAGUCAGACACGACUGAGCGACUGAACUGAACUGAACUGAAAUGAGUUAACAACAACAAGAAAAGUCAUUCUGUUUGUAACUCUAAAUAUAUUAAGACUGCCAGACUAUUUUAAAAAAUGCAAUCUUUGAUUUUUACUUAAAGGGACAUUUUAUCUUUGUUGUAAUGAGACUAAUUCCAGAUCACACACCCAAAAAAAGCCCUAAAUCUCUGCAACAUAAGAUAAUGAAGUAACUUAGAUUGUUGACUGCAGGUGAAACAAAGAAGAGUAGAAUAUUUUGUAGGCCUAUUAUGAGUAGAAGCAGGACAUUAUAUUUAAAUUGCAUGACAUUAAAAGUCAAAAAGGAUAAGAACUUUUGUAGUCAGAGAGUUUGGUUUGGUUCCUCAUCAGCAUCCUUUGUGCCCUGAUAUAUCAGAAUGCAACUCAAGUGGUAGGCCUCUUACUCUUUUUAUCUUUCUCUGCCACACAGUGGGUACCCUACAGACCUGGUGGAGAGGGUAAGUCAGCAGCCCUGAUCUUACCUUACACAGUUGGGUUUACAAAAAGAUAUUCACUGCUAGAGUUCACGAUGAAAGUCCUGCCAAACUCCUUGAUGACCAUGAGGUAGAUCAGCCACCCACCUGCUCCGGGUAUGAACUCCCUCAACUUUCCUCACAAUAAAUACUACUUAGACUAGAAUGACCAGCCAGCUAGGACUGCCCAUGACUGAGGAACUGACUGAGAUCUGGGACUUCCGGUGCUAAAAUUGGGAAAGUCCCAG